AACGAACGCUGGCGGCAUGCCUAACACAUGCAAGUCGAACGAGACCUUCGGGUCUAGUGGCCCACGGGGGCGUAACGCGUGGGGACCUGCCCUUGGGUUCGGCAUAACUCCCCGAAUGGGGUACUAAUACCGGAUAAUAUCUUCGAACCGAAGAUUUAUCGCCUUUGGAUGGGCCCGCGUGGCAUUAGCUGGUUGUGAGGGUAAAAGCCUACCAAGGCGCGGAUAGAUAGAUGGUCUGAGAGGCAGAGCACCGACACUGGGAGGCGGAAACGACCCAGACUCCUACGGGAGGCGGGAGUGGGGGAUAUAGGAAAGCGGGGGGAGGGAUGAACGAGCAAUGCCGGGAGAGUGAUGAAGGCCUUAGAGUAGUAAAGCUCUUUUACCCGGGAUGAUAAUGACAGUACCGGAAGAAUAAGCACCGGCUAACUCCGUG
rnacentral:rRNA from 1 species